AGAGUUUGAUCCUGGCUCAGGAUGAACGCUGACAGAAUGCUUAACACAUGCAAGUCUACUUGAACUUCGGUUUGGGUGGCGGACGGGUGAGUAACGCGUAAAGAACUUGCCUCACAGUUAGGGACAACAUUUGGAAACGAAUGCUAAUACCUGAUAUUAUGAUUUUAGGGCAUCCUAAGAUUAUGAAAGCUAUAUGCGCUGUGAGAGAGCUUUGCGUCCCAUUAGCUAGUUGGAGAGGUAACGGCUCACCAAGGCGAUGAUGGGUAGCCGGCCUGAGAGGGUGAACGGCCACAAGGGGACUGAGACACGGCCCUUACUCCUACGGGAGGCAGCAGUGGGGAAUAUUGGACAAUGGACCAAGAGUCUGAUCCAGCAAUUCUGUGUGCACGAUGAAGUUUUUCGGAAUGUAAAGUGCUUUCAGUUGGGAAGAAAAAAAUGACGGUACCAACAGAAGAAGUGACGGCUAAAUACGUGCCAGCAGCCGCGGUAAUACGUAUGUCACAAGCGUUAUCCGGAUUUAUUGGGCGUAAAGCGCGUCUAGGUGGUUAUGUAAGUCUGAUGUGAAAAUGCAGGGCUCAACUCUGUAUUGCGUUGGAAACUGUGUAACUAGAGUACUGGAGAGGUAAGCGGAACUACAAGUGUAGAGGUGAAAUUCGUAGAUAUUUGUAGGAAUGCCGAUGGGGAAGCCAGCUUACUGGACAGAUACUGACGCUGAAGCGCGAAAGCGUGGGUAGCAAACAGGAUUAGAUACCCUGGUAGUCCACGCCGUAAACGAUGAUUACUAGGUGUUGGGGGUCGAACCUCAGCGCCCAAGCAAACGCGAUAAGUAAUCCGCCUGGGGAGUACGUACGCAAGUAUGAAACUCAAAGGAAUUGACGGGGACCCGCACAAGCGGUGGAGCAUGUGGUUUAA
rnacentral:rRNA from 1 species